ACAGCAGUCGCCGCGGUAAUGCGAAGGGUGCAAGCGUUAAUCGGAAUUACUGGGCGUAAAGCGUGCGUAGGCGGUUUGUUAAGUCUGUUGUGAAAUCCCCGGGCUCAACCUGGGAAUGGCAAUGGAUACUGGCAAGCUAGAGUGUGUCAGAGGAUGGUGGAAUUCCCGGUGUAGCGGUGAAAUGCGUAGAGAUCGGGAGGAACAUCAGUGGCGAAGGCGGCCAUCUGGGACAACACUGACGCUGAGGCACGAAAGCGUGGGGAGCAAACAGGAUUAGAUACCCCAGUAGUCCCUGUCUCUUAUAC
rnacentral:rRNA from 1 species